rnacentral:rRNA from 1 species
GGCCUAACACAUGCAAGUCGAGCGGUAGAGAGAAGCUUGCUUCUCUUGAGAGCGGCGGACGGGUGAGUAAUACCUAGGAAUCUGCCUGAUAGUGGGGGAUAACGUUCGGAAACGGACGCUAAUACCGCAUACGUCCUACGGGAGAAAGCAGGGGACCUUCGGGCCUUGCGCUAUCAGAUGAGCCUAGGUCGGAUUAACUACUUGGUGAGGUAAUGGCUCACCAAGGCUACGAUCCGUAACUGGUCUGAGAGGAUGAUCAGUCACACUGGAACUGAGACACGGUCCAGACUCCUACGGGAGGCAGCAGUGGGGAAUAUUGGACAAUGGGCGAAAGCCUGAUCCAGCCAUGCCGCGUGUGUGAAGAAGGUCUUCGGAUUGUAAAGCACUUUAAGUUGGGAGGAAGGGCAGUAAAUUAAUACUUUGCUGUUUUGACGUUACCGACAGAAUAAGCACCGGCUAACUCUGUGCCAGCAGCCGCGGUAAUACAGAGGGUGCAAGCGUUAAUCGGAAUUACUGGGCGUAAAGCGCGCGUAGGUGGUUUGUUAAGUUGAAUGUGAAAUCCCCGGGCUCAACCUGGGAACUGCAUCCAAAACUGGCAAGCUAGAGUAUGGUAGAGGGUAGUGGAAUUUCCUGUGUAACGGUGAAAUGCGUAGAUAUGGGAAGGAACACCCGUGGCGAAGGCGACUACCUGGACAGAUACUGACACUGAGGUGCGAAAGCGUGGGGAGCAAACAGGAUUAAAUACCCUGGUAUUCCACGCCGUAAACGAUGUCAACUAGCCGUUGGGAGUCUUGAACUCUUAGUGGGCGCAGCUAACGCAUUAAGUUGACCCGCCUGGGGGAGUACCGGCCGCAAGGUUAAAACUCAAAUGA